ACUGCCGGUCCGGCUUCAAUUCCGUAGUGCAUUGCAGUGUAGGACCUGUUCCAAAGACCAACUGCAAGCAUUGUGGGAGUGAAGCCGUGCUCUGCAAGAACCUA
rnacentral:pre_miRNA from 1 species